GGGUGGUUAGCUCAAUUGGCAGAGCGUCCCGCUUACACCGGGAAGGUUAUAGGUUCGAGUCCUAUACUACCCACAA
rnacentral:tRNA from 1 species